rnacentral:piRNA from 1 species
UGAGGGAGGCCAAGCUGAACCAGAAGA